rnacentral:rRNA from 1 species
AGCUCCAUUAGCGUAUAUUAAAGUUGUUGCGGUAAAAAAGCUCGUAGUUGGAUUUCUGUGAGAUUGGCCUGGUCCGCUCUAUGAGUGUGUAUUUGGGACCGAUUUUGCAUCCUGGUCGAAAUUGUUACUGCGCUUCAGUGCGUGGUGCAAGUUCGGCCACUUUUACUUUGAGGAAAUUGGAGUGUUUACGGCAGACGUUUGUCUUGAACAUUUUAGCAUGGAAUAAUACCAUAGGAUCUCAUUCCUAUUUUGUUGGUUUCUAGGAACGAGAUAAUGAUUAAUAGGGACGACUGGGGGUACUUGUAUCAUGACGUCAGAGGUGAAAUUCUUGGAUUGUCAUGCGACAAACUGCUGCGAAAGCGUUUACCAAGGACGUUUUCAUUGAUCAAGAACGAAAGUA